UACGUAGGCAGCAAGCGUUGUUCGGAUUCAUUGGGCGUAAAGGGCGCGUAGGCGGUGGGGUAAGUCUGGUGUGAAAUCUCGGAGCUCAACUCCGAAAUUGCACUGGAUACUGCUCUGCUAGAGGGCUGGAGAGGAGAUCGGAAUUCACGGUGUAGCAGUGAAAUGCGUAGAUAUCGUGAGGAAGACCAGUGGCGAAGGCGGAUCUCUGGACAGCUCCUGACGCUGAGGCGCGAAGGCUAGGGGAGCAAACGGG
rnacentral:rRNA from 1 species